rnacentral:lncRNA from 1 species
AUGGAUUAGAUUAAAUUAGAGUAAUUAUUUUAUGAAAUUACAGACAUCAGCAUAGCCAUAUAUUAUUAUUGUACAAGCCCAAUUUUGCCCUGCCCAAAAAUAAGCCCAAACAACCCACUAGGCCCAAAUACCCAUUGCAACUCGAGCCCAAGUACCCAAACCCCAAAUCUGACCCAAACCAAUUUUUCAAACUAGAGUUUCAUCUUUUCUGAAACCCUAGUACUGCCGCCGCACCUAGCUAGCCUUCAGCCACCUUUGACUAGCGCCGCACCUGCCCACUGCCACGGUCACGUCGCCGCCCCACUUGCGCCGUCACUUGCAAGACACGCAAACAACAAAAACACAAGAGAAAUAGAAAAAAUAACAUGUAAUUUAGGCCAUAAAAGCCGAGUAUCUCCACCAAAAAAGGGGGGUUUUUUGUGUUUUUGGAACAUUUUCACAAAAAUAAAAAGCAAAAAAAUUUAAAGGUGAUUUCUAGUGUUCUAUUUCUUUCGGUUUUUUUUAGAUGUUUUAACUUUUUUUUGUUUAUUUAUUCGCAUAUAUAUAUGACAUAAAGAAAAAAAAGGGAAACUCACCGGGACAAGGCUUUGAACGCCCGUUCUGGCGCUUCGUCGGCCGUCAGAUACGGUGGUGGUGUGACGAGUAGAGAGGCGACGCGAUAGGGGCCUUAGAACCCCAAAGGCAGGAUGUUGAGAGGAAAAAGGGAGGGGUUCUGAAUUUUUUUAAAAAAAAUGGUGGCUGUAUAGAUUUUUCAAAAAAAAAAUUCACUUAAAUACCCUAAAUGAAACAGCGCCGUUUUGCCAUUAGGGUCAAGUGCCAAAAUGAUGCCAUUUUGGCCCUGACCAGCGCGGUGACCCGACCCUAAGGGGAGGAUCCGCGUGUUUUCUUAAAGGGAGAUAUUUGCACGCGCAGUCCCUCCGACUUUGCAACGCAUUGCAAUUUGGCCAUUUUUUCGUUAUUUUCUUUUAUUUUAAAUUAGCUGCAUAAUUUUACUUUUGUUUCAUUUUAAUCCGUUGCAGCGCUGUGUUUUAGGGCUUUGGUUUAUUUACCAUUUUGGUCCCCCUCUUUCGGCGUUUGUAGCAAUUUAAUCCUUUUCAUUUUUUUAUUUCGAAUUCGCCCAUUAUUUUCAUUUUUAUUUCGAUUUAGUCAGUUUUUUUAGUAAUUUUAUUAUUUAGUUAAUUAUUUUAAUGUUCUUAUUAUUGCCAUCAUUAUUAUUAUUAUUAUUAUUAGUUUUAUUUUCCUUUAUUUAGUCGUUAC